rnacentral:sRNA from 1 species
CCAAUAGCGUAUAUUAAAGUUGUUGCAGUUAAAAAGCUCGUAGUUGAAUUUCGAGAUCAGUACGCUGGUCGUGCCUUCGGUAUGCACUGGUGUCACUGGUUUCUCCCUUCUGAAGAACCGUCAUGCCAUUCAGUUGGUGUGGCGGGGAAUCAGGACUGUUACUUUGAAAAAAUUAGAGUGUUUAAAGCAGGCUCGCGCUUGAAUACAUUAGCAUGGAAUAAUGAAAUAGGACGUUUGACCCUAUUUUGUUGGUUUCUAGGAUCGACGUAAUGAUUAAUAGGGAUAGUUGGGGGCAUUAGUAUUCAAUUGUCAGAGGUGAAAUUCUUGGAUUUAUUGAAGACUAACUACUGCGAAAGCAUUUGCCAAGGAUGUUUUCAUUAAUCAAGAACGAAAGUUAGGGGAUCGAAGACGAUCAGAUACCGUCGUAGUCUUAACCAUAAACUAUGCCGACUAGGGAUCGGAUGAUGUUAAUUUUUUAAUGACUCAUUCGGCGCCUUACG